GACGAACGCUGGCGGCGUGCUUAACACAUGCAAGUCGAACGCUUAAGCUUGGUUCUUGCCCUGGGUGGAUGAGUGGCGAACGGGUGAGUAAUACGUGAGUAACCUGCCCUUGACUCUGGGAUAAGCCUGGGAAACUGGGUCUCAUACUGGAUAUGACAUGCCACUUCAUGGUUGUUUGUGGAACGGGUUUUCCUGGUUUUGGAUGGGCUCACGGCCUAUCAGCUUGUUGGUGGGGUACUGGCCUACCAAGGCGAAGCAGGGUAGCCGGCCUGAGAGGGUGAACGGCCACAAGGGGACUGAGAGACGGACCAGACUCCUACGGGAGGCAGCAGGGGGGAAUAUUGAACAAUGGGCGGAAGCCUGAUGCAGCGACGCCGCGUGAGGGAUGAAGGCCUUCGGGUUGUAAACCUCUUUCAGCACGGAAGAAGCGAGAGUGACGGUACGUGCAGAAGAAGCGCCGGCUAACUACGUG
rnacentral:rRNA from 1 species